rnacentral:rRNA from 1 species
UCGGCGAAUAAGGACUGGGUAAGACGAGUGCCAGCCGCCGCGGUAAUACUCGCGGUCCAAGUCGCAGCCAUAAUUAUUGGGUCUAAAACAUCCGUAGCUUGCCUUGUAAGUUUCCUGUGAAAUCCGGCAUCUUAAGUGUCGGGCGGGCAGGAAGUACUGCAGAGCUAGAGACCGGGAGACGUAAGGAGUACGUUCAAAGUAGCAGUAAAAUGCGUUAAUCUAGGACGGACUCACAAUAGCGAAGGCACCUUACGAGAACGGUUCUGACAGUAAGGGAUGAAGGCCAGGGGCGCAAAACGGAUUAGAUACCCGUGUAGUCCUGGCAGUAAACACUGCACACUAAACAUUGGGACCUCUUCGUGAGGUUUCAGUGCUGUAGGGAAGCCGAAGAGUGUGCUACCUGGGAAGUAUAGCCGCAAGGCCGAAACUUAAAGGAAUUGGCGGGGAGACACUACAAUGGGUGACGCGUGCGGUUCAAUUAGAUUCCACACCGUGAACCUCACCAGGAGCGACAGCAGAAUGAAGGUCAGUCUGAAGGGCUUACCUGACACGCUGAGAGGAGUUGCAUGGCCGACGUCAGCCUGUGCCGUGAGGUGACCUGUUAAAUCAGGUAACAGGCAAGACCCGCGUCUCUAUUUACAUUUACUAUAGAGAGAUUGCCAUGGUAACAUGGAUGAAAGUGCGGGCUACGUUAGGUGAGUACGGCCCGAACCCCCUGGGCGACACGCGCGCGGCAACGGUGAAUACAGCGGGACGCAACUCCGAAAGGAGAAGCUAAUCCCUUAAAGUUCAUCUCAGUCCAGAUUGAGGUUUGAAACUCAGCCUCAUGACGAUGGAAUCCAUAGUAAUCGUUUGUUAGCAACGAACGGUGAAUAUGUCCCUGUCUCUUGCACACACUGCCCGUCAAACCAACCGAGUUUAGUUAUGAUGAAACCUUUCGAGGGAGAAUCUUAUCUAGACAAGGUAGGUUAAGUCGUCACAAGGUAACUGUAGGGGAACCUGCAGUUGGAUCACCUCCUAA